UGCAGGAGAUUUGAUGUGCCCUCAUCAAGACUGAGUGUCCAGAAGCUUCUGAAACUGGCCCAAACUACAAACAUAUCUACUGUGGAAAACCUGACAAGGAGGAAAUGAAUGUCUGCAAGGGGGAUUCUGGAUCUGGUGUUCUAAAAAAAGAGCAAGUUAAAGGAAUGUUUAAUAAGAAGAAGAUUGUGGACAUUCUGUAUGGCGUUCUUAUCUCUGGACAUGGAGAAUGCGAGGAUAAAUUUGUUUUUUUCUGAUAUCUGUUCUAAUUCAUUAAAGAAGUGGGUAGACACUGCUUUGAAAUCCUAAAGACUGAGGUUCACAAAACAAGGUAGACUUAGUAAAUUAUUUGCCAAUUA